rnacentral:rRNA from 1 species
UACGUAGGGUGCGAGCGUUGUCCGGAAUCACUGGGCGUAAAGGGCGCGUAGGCGGCUCAUGAAGGCUGUGGUGAAAGUCCGGGGCUCAACCUCGGAUCGGCCGUGGCGACUCGUGGGCUGGAGCACUGUAGAGGCGGGUGGAAUUCCGGGUGUAGCGGUGGAAUGCGUAGAGAUCCGGAAGAACACCAGUGGCGAAGGCGGCCGCUGGCAGCUGGCUGACGCUGAGGCGCGACAGCGUGGGAGGCAAACAGG